UAGGGAAUCUUCCACAAUGGACGCAAGUCUGAUGGAGCAACGCCGCGUGAGUGAAGAAGGCUUUCGGGUCGUAAAACUCUGUUAUUGAAGAAGAACGUGUGUGACAGUAACUGGUCAUGCAGUGACGGUAUUCAAUCAGAAAGUCACGGCUAACUACGUGCCAGCAGCCGCGGUAAUACGUAGGUGGCAAGCGUUGUCCGGAUUUAUUGGGCGUAAAGCGAGUGCAGGCGGUCUUUUAAGUCUGAUGUGAAAGCCUUCGGCUUAACCGAAGAAGGGCAUCGGAAACUGGGAGACUUGAGUGCAGAAGAGGAGAGUGGAACCUCCAUGUGUAGCGGUGAAAUGCGUAGAUAUAUGGAAGAACACCAGUGGCGAAGGCGGCUCUCUGGUCUGUAACUGACGCUGAGGCUCGAAAGCGUGGGUAGCAAACAGGAUUAGAUACCCUGGUA
rnacentral:rRNA from 1 species